rnacentral:rRNA from 1 species
GACGAACGCUGGCGGCGUGCCUAAUACAUGCAAGUAGAACGCACAGGAUGCACCGUAGUUUACUACACCGUAUUCUGUGAGUUGCGAACGGGUGAGUAACGCGUAGGUAACCUGCCUGGUAGCGGGGGAUAACUAUUGGAAACGAUAGCUAAUACCGCAUAAGAACAUUUACUGCAUGGUAGAUGUUUAAAAGGUGCAAAUGCAUCACUACCAGAUGGACCUGCGUUGUAUUAGCUAGUUGGUGAGGUAACGGCUCACCAAGGCAACGAUACAUAGCCGACCUGAGAGGGUGAUCGGCCACACUGGGACUGAGACACGGCCCAGACUCCUACGGGAGGCAGCAGUAGGGAAUCUUCGGCAAUGGGGGGAACCCUGACCGAGCAACGCCGCGUGAGUGAAGAAGGUUUUCGGAUCGUAAAGCUCUGUUGUUAAGGAAGAACGUGUGUGAGAGUGGAAAGUCACAC